rnacentral:rRNA from 1 species
GUGGGGAAUUUUGGACAAUGGGCGCAAGCCUGAUCCAGCAAUGCCGCGUGCAGGAAGAAGGCCUUCGGGUUGUAAACUGCUUUUGUACGGAACGAAACGGUCCUGGCUAAUAUCCGGGGCUAAUGACGGUACCGUAAGAAUAAGCACCGGCUAACUACGUGCCAGCAGCCGCGGUAAUACGUAGGGUGCGAGCGUUAAUUGGAAUUACUGGGCGUAAAGCGUGCGCAGGCGGUGCUGUAAGACAGGCGUGAAAUCCCCGGGCUCAACCUGGGAAUUGCGCUUGUGACUGCAGUGCUGGAGUGCGGCAGAGGGGGAUGGAAUUCCGCGUGUAGCAGUGAAAUGCGUAGAUAUGCGGAGGAACACCGAUGGCGAAGGCAAUCCCCUGGGCCUGCACUGACGCUCAUGCACGAAAGCGUGGGGAGCAAACAGGAUUAGAAACCCAGUAGUCC